rnacentral:rRNA from 1 species
UGGGGAAUAUUGGACAAUGGGCGCAAGCCUGAUCCAGCCAUGCCGCGUGAGUGAUGAAGGCCUUAGGGUUGUAAAGCUCUUUCACCGGAGAAGAUAAUGACGGUAUCCGGAGAAGAAGCCCCGGCUAACUUCGUGCCAGCAGCCGCGGUAAUACGAAGGGGGCUAGCGUUGUUCGGAAUUACUGGGCGUAAAGCGCACGUAGGCGGAUCGAUCAGUCAGGGGUGAAAUCCCAGAGCUCAACUCUGGAACUGCCUUUGGUACUGUCGAUCUAGAGUAUGGAAGAGGUGAGUGGAAUUCCGAGUGUAGAGGUGAAAUUCGUAGAUAUUCGGAGGAACGCCAGUGGCGAAGGCGGCUCACUGGUCCAUUACUGACGCUGAGGUGCGAAAGCGUGGGGAGCAAACAGG